AUCGGCGCGUGUGGGCAUGUCGGAUCCCUGCUUGGGCAGCGACGGCGUGCCGCACGUGCCUCCUCAGUCUGUGUUGGUUCAAGAGCGCACAUGCCUUGGCCGAAGUUGGUUUUCUGUGUUUCAUACCCGUUGUGAAGGCACUCAUUGUCCCAAAUGUCCCUCUUCCGUCGUGCGCCGCGCCCCUUCGGGGUCGUGGUGUGGGGCGGACUGCGAAGCACCCGCCGAGUUCCGCUUGCAUGCGCCCAAAAGGGCGCGUGUUCGUCGGCACCCGGCGACGUGCUCGAUCUCUUGGAUGCGGAAUAUCGUGUGGGCACGUGGCCCCCGGCCACUAUCUGCCCCUAAACAAGCGUUUCACGCUUCGUGCGAACGACUGCCGCCCCCGUCUCGUCCGAGCCCUUGCGGCUCGUUCCGUGCGGGGAUGGCGUCGGUGAGGAA
rnacentral:misc_RNA from 1 species